rnacentral:rRNA from 1 species
GAGCUUGAUUGUGAGGAAGACUCCACAGUUAAGCAUGCUUGAGCCAGAGGAGUCUUGGGAUGGGUGACCUCCCCGAAAGUCCUGGUUAUCGGGUGCA